rnacentral:lncRNA from 1 species
AUGAUACAGCUCUGAGGAGUGGAGGUGAGAGACAGGACUAGCUGGAUUUCCUAGGCCAACUAAGAAUCCCUAAGCCUAGCUGGGAAGGUGACCACUUUCACCUUUAAACACGGGCUUGGAACUUAGCUCACGCUUGACCAAUCAGAUAGUAAGGAGAGCUCACUAAAAUGCUAAUUAGGCAAAAAGACCCCUUGUGAAUGGGACUAGUUCCCUUAGAAAAGAGACCCGCAAGAGCACCCUCACUGCUUUUCUCUGAGGUGAGGACACAAAGAAAAGAUUGAAGUCUAUUAACUAGAAAGUGAGUCCCACCACACACUGAAUUUGCAGUUGCCUUGAUCUUGGACGCUCUACCCACCAGAACUAUGAGAAAUAUGGCCUUAUACUCAUGGGCUCAAGCAGUACUCCUCCCUCAGCCUCCCGAGUAGCUGGGACUAUAGGUGAGUACCACUGCACCCAGCUUAAAUGCUUAUUGAAUCCACCCAGUCUAUGGAGUUUCUGUUAUAACUGCCCAAGUAUCUAUACCAACAGACUGAGACAGUUGGUAUAUUAGUACAAGGAGCAGCCUUGAAACCUGGAGUAAGCUUAGGACAAGUUAAAGAUGCACUGUUUAACUUGGUAGAGAAUUAAUUAGAGCAGAAAUUUCCCCUUGUGGUAACACUCUUAGUAGUGUUUAGCUCACUCAUUCAUUUGAUAAGUAUUUAUUGAGACUCUCUUUGUUCCGGGGACAGUUUAGAUUUGUUAUGUAUCCAUUGGUGAAGACAGGACAAAAAUCCCCGACUAGGAGAGGGACCUGAACUCUGCUAAAAUAUAGGCAUAGUUCUUAUAAUUCAUUACUGCUCAGGAGUCAGGUGGCCAGAGGUCACAAGAUUUGUGACUUCCCUAAUUGCUCCUAUAGGUAACAUCACUAUUGUAGAAUGUAAGAUUGGUCUUCUGAGAUGUUUUUCAGAUUUUUGCAUUUGGCAACUGACUGACUCUACCUGGACCUGUGACUC